AGUCAUCCAUCAUACAGAUAGGUUAUUGCAAAAUUACCUCCCACGUCAUUCCAAGUUGCUCUAAUCUGCUGUCUCUGCUCUCCACCUGCAGUUCUUUCUAUUUAUUCCAGAUUUGGAGUUGAUAAUCUCUCCUGCUUUCCAGCUGUUUGACUGUUCUCCUGGGGGAUGCAUUCUUUCCUGCAGCUGAGAACUCAUCUGAUUCUAGUGCCAUUUUCAAACUACGUGGUGCCAUCACGACUGAAGAAUACUUGCAAUCCUGUGUAUGGAAUGAGAGGAAAGUAGAUCCUGUGGUGUGUUAGCUAAGGGGGAAAACCAGCCCAUGGGGAUGAUUUCGUCAGGCCCCUGAAUUUGCUCACCAUCCCAGAAGAACUACGCUACAAAUGGUGUCCUCUACACAGCGUGACCACUCACUCACCAUACUUACAAUGUCAUGCUGCAUGGAGGACAAUGAUGGGACAGGGAUAGGUGCCUCCUUCUGCUUGGGAUCUUCAGUCACAAACUCUCUCCUGGAGUUAGGCUUCUAAGCAAGUGGCAUCCCAGAGCGCCAGUCAUGGACCAGGCCUCCAUUGUGCUACAUGCUGCGGAAACAGAACAAAAAGGCGGAAUCUUUAAGCCAAAGAGCUUCCAACCUAUAUAAAAUACCAUUCCAGCUGGCAUCCAGGUGGAGCAGAAGGGGGGAACUGCAUAAAUGCAGGGACUCUCCUUUCUCCUUCUGCAGAGGAGCACCAGUCUCAUUGUCUCUCCGUGCCUCUUCUCUGCAGUGACUCUGGGAUCCAGCCAAUCUUCAGCCAUGAAGACCCUUUACCUUCUCUUUGCUGUUUUCUGCUUAGUUUUCCAUGUCCAGGCCAAUCCCAUGCCUGUUCCUGAGGAUGUGCCACAAGG